ensembl:lncRNA
CUUGAUGUGGUGGUUAACAACAUGCAUAGUAAAGUUUGCUUAACUAUAUAUCUUUCUUUCGUGACUACAACACAAAGCACAUUGAAACAUGGUGGGAGCGGCACUCAAACGAACCUGGAUCUCAUUUAUGUAAAGGAAGAAUACAUUCCAGGCAGCAGUUUGGAAAAGUGUCACAUUUACGAGCUAGUCAUCGCGCCGAACAUCAACGCUAGCUGGCUAUCGUGAGUGACUGCUAAAAGCUAACUGGCUAUUGGACACAAGCAGAUUUUGAGUACAGGGGUACCAACCGGUUCUGCGGUGGAUGACUGGUUCAGGCGCGCGGAGGAGACAUGGGACGCCGCCCAUGUUCACCUCCAGCGGGCCGUGAUGCGCCAGAAAGCCAGCGAAGACCGUCACCGCAGUGAGGCCCCGGUGUUCGCACCGGCUCUCGACCCGGAACCUGCCCUUCCGCUGCCCUGCCAGAAGCUGGACCCGCGGUUUGUGGGGCCAUUUAAAGUCCUGAGUAGAGUGAACGAGGUUUGUUAUAGGUUACAGCUUCCCCCUGAUUACCGUAUUAACCCCUCGUUCCAUGUGUC